rnacentral:rRNA from 1 species
GACGAACGCUGGCGGCGUGCCUAAUACAUGCAAGUAGAACGCUGAAGGAGGAGCUUGCUUUUCUGGAUGAGUUGCGAAGGGGUGAGUAACGCGUAGGUAACCUGCCUGGUAGCGGGGGAUAACUCUUGGAAACGAUAGCUAAUACCGCAUAAAAUUGAUUAUUGCAUGAUAGUCAAUUAAAAGGUGCAAUUUCAUCACUACCAGAUGGUCCUGCGUUGGAUUAGCUAGUUGGUGAGUUAAAGGCUCACCAAGGCAAAGAUACAUAGCCGACCUGAGAGGGGGGACGGCCACACGGGGAAUGGGACAAGGCCCAAACUCCUUCGGGAGGCAGCAAGAGGGAAACUUCGGCAAAUGGCGGAAGUCUGACCGAACAACGCCGCGGGAGUGGAGAAGGGUUUCGGAUCGUAAAGCUCUGUUGUAAGGGAAGAACGAGUGUGGGAGUGAAAAGUUCACACUGUGACGGUAUCUUACCAGAAAGGGACGGCUAACUACGUG